rnacentral:rRNA from 1 species
UACGGAGGAUGCAAGCGUUAUCCGGAAUCAUUGGGCGUAAAGCGUCCGUAGGUGGCUUUUCAAGUCUGAGGUCAAAGCACAAGGCUUAACCUUGUAAAGGCCGUGGAAACUGAAAUGGCUAGAGUGCGGUAGGGGUAGAGGGAAUUCCCAGUGUAGCGGUGAAAUGCGUAGAGAUUGGGAAGAACACCGGUGGCGAAAGCGCUCUACUGGGCCUGCACUGACACUGAGGGACGAAAGCUAGGGGAGCGAAAGGG